UCACUAUGCGGCCACUGUGAUGAUUGAGCUUCCUCUCCUCAGGACCCGCAUGGGAGAGGCCACGGCUUCGAGACACCUGGGGCCGCUUCCGCGGUGAGGACUGGGAGACGCUGCUGCAUCUCCGGGACACCUGGGGCGGAGGCCAACGACCCACCCAGUAGGGGCCACGGCUUCGAGACCUGGGGACACCUGGGGCCACGUCCAUGGUAAAGACAUCUCCGGGACACCUGGGGCUGACCCUGGUACCGGGAGAGGAGGAGGAACACAGCGACGCCAUCCUGAGGUCGGGGACCAGCAGGAACCACAGUCUAAGGCCAAUGAAACAGGCGCCCCUGGAUUAGUGCUCAGUGUUUGUUUUGUUUUGUUUUCUUUUGAGGAGUUUUGCUCUUGUUCCCCAGGCUGGAGUGCGAUGUCUCGAUCUCGGCUCACUGCAACCUCUGCCUCCCGGGUUCAAGUGAUUCUCCUGCCUCAGCCUCCCAAGUAGCUGGGAUUACAGUCAUGCGCCAUCACGCCCAGCUAAUUUUGUAGUUUUAGUAGAGACAGGGUUUCUCCAGGUUGAUCAGGCUGGUCUUGAACUCCUGACCUCGGGUGAUCCGCCCACCUCAGCCUCCCAAAGUGCUGGAAUUACAGGCGUGAGCCACUGCGCCCGGCCAGUGUUCUAUAUUUUAAGGCUCUUUUGUUAACGCAGUGGAAACAACACAGGAAAUGGAAAAGAAGGCACAUUAUCAUGCUCACGCCACUGCAUUUAGUCUGGGCGACAGAGGGAGACCUUGUCUCAAAAAACAAAAACAAAUGAAAACAAAAACAAACCA